ACAACUUUCAACAACGGAUCUCUUGGUUUCGCAUCGAUGAAGAACGCAGCGAAAUGCGAUAAGUAAUGUGAAUUGCAGAAUUCAGUGAAUCAUCGAAUCUUUGAACGCACCUUGCGCUCCUUGGUAUUCCGAGGAGCAUGCCUGUUUGAGUGUCAU
rnacentral:rRNA from 1 species